GGUAGUUUGGCCCAUUUGUGAUAUUGCUCCCAAAAAGAACUUUGGGUUUCUUGAGGGGGUGCUUCCCUCUAAAAGGGCAAGCAGGGGUACCUGGACAGGUGGUGGGCUGCCUCAAGUCUGUUCUCUCACUGGACACAUUUAUGUCUGGCCUAGCAGGUGAUCCUGGGGCUUGGCCCGUUUUGCCCUAGAAUUUGAUGGCCUCUGGCAGUGUUUCCAGCCUGCUUUCUACCUUCUGCCCGGGGCCUUCUUCAUCAGGGGCCUUCCAUCUCUAGUAAAGAGGGAGAGGAUUUUCCUCCUUCUGGGCCCCUUUUUUUCUGAUUCACAAUUUUUCCAGAACCGAGCUAGGUCCUUAGGGAGGAAGGUAGCGUCCCCAUGUGGUGCACGAAGCAUUGGUUUCACCGGUUCCUCACAUUGUUUAGUUUUUUGCAGACUAUGGCAGGGCUUUUGCAGAUACCUCCAGAGCUUGCCUCUCCUGCAGAGGAUGACUUGCUGAUGCCCCAGGUGCCUUCUUCCGGAAGGAAGCGUCCUCGGAGGCGGCAAUCCAGGAGGAGGGCAAAGAGGAGCAGGGAACGUGAUUCCACUUCCUUGUCAGGGAUGAUGGAGUGCACCUCUCUCCAGCUGGUUAUGACAUCUGGUUUACUGCUGUGUCGUUGGGGUUGAGGAAUUGGGUGCAGUGGUUUCUGGCGUGCUUCUUGUUGUUUAGUAGUCCCUAAGUGAUCACAACUAAGGAGUGCAAUUCCAUCCAAGUGCCCAUCAGCAUGCUAGCCUAUAAACACUGUUAAUAAGUACAG